GACCAGAGGAGGACAAGAGACUUCUAUGCGGUAUGCAGGGACGAUUUGGGUGACAUCUGAGACGCAGCCGCACUUCAACAAGCGUCCGGGCUCCAGGAACAUGGCGGCGGCCUCUGUGGUGUCGAUGCUGCUGCUGGCGACUGAGAGGAACCAGUGGCAGUCAUUCCAGAGCCCGCUGCUGCUGCUGCCGCUGCCGCUGCCGCUGCCGAGGCAACGAUCCAAAAGGUAGUUCUGGCACUUGGAUACUACUAUGUUGGAGCAACUUGUCAUGCCUGCAUUGUGUGGAACCAGUGUUCAAAAUAAAAUGCAAAAACUUCAGGCUUGUGGAGGAGGGAGCACAUGAUGUCCUGGUACUCCAGGGAGACCAUUUGAUAUGUUAAAUAGAAUAUAUCAUUUCAUUGUCUCUUUUUUAAGGUUGUGUUGCUUUCUGCCUUAGUGCCAAUUGAUAUGCUGAAGACCUCAAAAAGUUCCUGAGAAAUCCAUUUCAAAUUCUGGUGAAGAAAGAAGAGCUGACCUCUGAAAAGAAUUGGCAGUGGGAGUCAAUUUGGGAGGAAGGCUGUGGCCUUAAACAUUGAAGAAAAGAAGAAGAUUCUUUGUGACACUGAGCCUUUCUACCAUACUACACUGGAGGAAAUGCCAAUGAAUGUGGAUGACCUAAUUUAAUUCCUGGGAUGAAAUGGUUUUGAAUGUAGUGCUUGCUGUUGGUGAAUAGGCAAUCACAAGGUGCAUCAUGCUUCUUUUGGGGGAAAUAUUUGAAGUUUUGUCUCAAUGCUCAUAACAGAUCAAAAAUAUAGAUUUUGAUAGCAAAGCAACUUCAGCCAUGAGCUCAUGUGAGGAAAGUCAUUGGCUUUAUCCUCUUUAGAAUUAGACUGUUGGGGUAGCUAUAAAAGAUGGGCUUGUACCCAAUCGAAAAAUGGGCAGAAGACCUAAAUAUACAUUUCUCCAAAGAAGACAUACAGAUGGCCAACAGGCAAAUGAAAAAAGUCUCAACAUGGCUAAUUAUCAGAGAUAUGCAAAUCAAAACUACAAUGAGAUACUGCCUCACACCAGUCAGAAUAGCCAUUAUUAAAAAGUCUACAAAUAGCAAAUGCUGGAGAGGGUGUGGAGAAGAGGGAACCCUCUUACACUGUUGGUGGAAAUGUAAAUUUGUGCAGCCACUAUGAAGAACAGUAUGGAGGUUCCUCAAGAAACUAAAAAUAGAAUUACCAUAUGAUCCAGCAAUCCCACUCCUGGGCAUAUAUCCAGACAAAACUAUAAUUCAAAAAGAUACAUGCACCCCUAUGGUCAUAGCAGCACUAUUCACAAUAGCCAAGACAUGGAAACCACCUAAAUGUCCACCUAGAGAUGAAUGGAUAAAGAAGAUGUGGUACAUAUAAUACAAUGCAAUACUACUCAGCCAUAAAAAAGAAUGAAAUAAUGCCAUUUGCAGCAACAUGGAUGGAACUGGAGGUUAUCAUACUAAGUGAAGAAGUCAGAAAGAGAAAGAAAAAUACCAUAUGAUAUCACUUAUAUGUGGAAUCUAAAAUAUGACACAAAUGAACCUACCUACGAAACAGAAACAGACUCACAGACAUAGAGAACAGACCUGUGUUUGCCAAGGCAGUGGGGGUGGGGAGAGGAGAGAUGGAUUGGGAGGUUGGGGUUAGCAGAUGCAAACUAUUAUAUACAGGAUGGAUAAACAAUGAGGUCCUACUGUAUAGCACAGGGAACUAUAUUCAACACCCUGUGAUAAAACAUAUUGGAAAAGACUAUGAAAAAGAAUACAUAUUUAUGUAUAACUGAAUCACUUUGCUGUAGAGCAGAAAUUAACUCAACAUUGUAAAUCAACUAUACUUCAAUUUAAGAAAAAGAUGGGGUUGUAAAUCUUAGAAUUUUAUCUCCUAGUUCUCUACACAUGGUUAUAUUGAGUGUUCACUAUCAUUUAAUAAUAUACUUGUUGACUGAAAGAUACGUGCUGUAUAAAAACAGCCAAUUAUAUUAAACUAGUAUAUCUGCUGUUAUUGUGUUAGCCAUUAGACUGAAUGGAACUAACUUUAAAAUGAUUUUUUAAGAAAAUAUUUGAAUUUAUUUUGUUUGGUAUCGUUUUUAUUCAGUAAGGCAUUUUAUUAGUGGUAAGUGUAAACUAGAGUCUUUUGCUAAACACCAGCAACAAUCAUGUCCUACAGUUAAGUCUCAGAAAAAUUGCUGUAUUGUAUAUUGAAUUUUCAAUAAAUUAAA